GACCUGAGGAACGCUAAGCCGCUUGGGGGAUGGCUUGGCUCAGGCGCCGAGGAAGGCCGUGGCAAGCUGCGAAAAGCCCAGGCUAGGCGCAAGCAGCCUUAGAACCUGGGAUUGCCUAAUGGGACUUCCUGUCGCAGGGCAACCUGCGGCGUUCGCGGUAGCGAACGGGAACCCCGGGAACGGAAACAUCUUAGUACCGGGAGGAAAAGAAAGCAAUUGCGAUGCCCUUAGUAACGGCGAGUGAAGAGGGCACAGAGCAAACCGAACCUGGUGGCGAGAGUCACUGGGGAUGUGGAGUUGCAGGACCCGACCGCCACCUAACCGAGGAAGCUGAAGUUGGCUGGAACGCCACGCCAUAGAGGGUGAAAGCCCCGUAAGCGUAACUCGGAAGGUGUUGGGUUGGGUAUCCUGAGUAGGAUGCCUUGGAAAUGGCGUCCGAAGCCGGGAGGCAUCAACUCCCAACUCUAAAUACGUCCUGAGACCGAUAGCGGAGCAGUACCGCGAGGGAAAGCUGAAAAGUACCCCGGAAGGGGGGUGAAAAGAGCCUGAAACCAAGCGGCGAUUGUUGGACAUGGCUCGAAAGGGCUGAUUCUCCCCGAAGGAAACUGCGGCGACGCAGCAGUACGAGGGGAGAGGACCGGGGUCAUGUCGUCCGUCUGGAAUCACGGGCCAGGGAGUUUAUCGUCGUGGCGAGGCUAAGGGUUUUAAGCCCGAGGCCGGAGCGAAAGCGAAUAGCCCGCAUCGCGCAAGCGAGAGGGGCUGGGUGUGAAAGCGCCCGGAGUCACGGCGAUAAGACCCGAAACCGGGCGAUCUAGUCCGGGGUAGGACGAAGCUGAUCUUCGGAUCGGUGGAGGUCCGAACCGGUCUUGACGUGCAAUUCGGUCGGAUAACCCUGGGCUAGUGGCGAAAGACCAAUCAAGCCCGGUGACAGCUGGUUCCUUCCGAAGCUGGCCGCAGUCAGGCCCGGCGCGAGGUCGCAGGCGGUGUAGAGCACCGAUUGAUGGGAUACGGGGGGAAACCCUCGGCCCGUCUGUCGAACUCCGAAGCUGCCUGCACCGUAGACCGCUGGAGACGGGGUGCGGGGGGUAAGCUCCCGCUCCGAGAGGGGAAAAACCCAGACCAAGGUUAAGGCCCCCAAAUGCCAGCUAAGUGUUAAACCUAAAGGGCGUCCUUGACCAAAAACAGCGGGGAGGUAGGCUUAGAAGCAGCCAUCCUCUAAGCAACGCGUAAUAGCGGACCCGUCGAGGUCAGGGGCCCCAAAAAUUGGCGGGGCUUAAGCUGGCUGCCGAUACCUUGGGGAGGCCGAAGAGGAGUAGGCCGAUCCGGUAGGAAGGCGCCCGGCGUGGGUGGAAGUGUGACCGUGAGGUCACGUGGACCGCGUCGGGAUGAGGAUCCUGGCGGUAGUAGCAGCGUAGUGGGGUGAGAAUCCCCACCACCGAAGGGGCUCGGGUUCCUCGACAAUGAUCGUCAGUCGAGGGUUAGUCGGUCCUAAGGCGGCCCUCAACCAGAGGCCGUCGAAAGGGAAACCGGUUAAUAUUCCGGUACCACCCAGGUACCUUGCGGCAACGCAGGCUCAGCUUCUGACGCUUCGGGGUAGGUUGAGCGGGGUCGUCGCCCCGUCUAACCCACGGAGGUCCGAGGAGUUCCGUAAUGGAGAGAAUCGGACGAACGUGGGGAAUGGCCUGCCGUUAGGUGGGUUCAGCUCAUCCCUGGAGCCCGUGAAAAAGGAGCUGAGAAAUGGGAUCCUGGGCGGCCGUACCUAGAUCCGACACAUUGACGAUAACCAGCAAAUUAAGCUGGAGUCGUCAAGUCGAGAGGUGCCCCUAGGUGAGAAGCCUCAGGUGUAUCGGGAGACCCCAGGCCAGGGAAUUCGGCAAAAUAGCCCCGUGACUUUGGACGAAGGGGUGCCUGCCUUGCGAAAGGCAGGUCGCAGUGACAAGCGGAGGCCGACUGUUUAAUAAAAACGUAGCUAACCGCAAGCCCGAAAGGGUGAGUACGGUUAGUGAAUUCUGCCCAGUAGCGGUACGUUAAGCCGGGUUUCAACCCGGUGAAGCGCCGCUAAACGGCGGGGGUAACUAUAACCCUCUUAGUUCUCUGCCGUCUGGGCGGAGAAGGAGCUAGGUAGCGUAAUACCUUGCCGCUUAAUUGGCGGCUUGCAUGAAGGAAUCAACGAGCCUCCCACUGUCCCGGUCUGGGCCCCGGUGAACCCACUGGCCGGCGAACAUGCCGGGGACCCCCGAAGGGAAACGAAGACCCCGUGGACCUUUACUGCAGCCUGUCGUUGAAGCGCGGUUGCGGGUGCAGAGCGUAGGCGGGAGCCUUCGAAGCCCGAUCUUCGGGUCGGGUGGAGGCGCCAAUGUAACACCGCCCUCUUGCGGCUGCGUUUCUAACUCGAAAGAGGACCGCGGCAGGUGGGCAGUUUCGCUGGGGCGGCAGCCUCUCGAAAAGAUAUCGAGAGGGCCCAAAGGUCGGCUCAGGCGGGUCAGAAAUCCGCCGUGGAGGGCAAGGCCAAAAGCCGGCCUGACUGUGUGCUCACUACCAAGGCACGCAGAGGCGAAAGCCUGGCCUAGCGAACCUCGAUGUCCCUCUUGGUGAGGGCUCGGGAUGACAGAAAAGGUACCCCGGGGAUAACAGAGUUGUCGCGGGCGAGAGUCCCUAUCGACCCCGCGGCUUGCUACCUCAACUUUGGGGUAUGACUGCAGUAAUGCAGUUCUGGCACUGGCUUAUAACGGGGAAACCCUUCACGGUGUUUUUCCUUAUAAAGAGUUUCCACCAAGAAAUGAAGGGCAACCCCGUGGGAAGUCUAACCAAGGAACAGCGCGAUCUAGUGGUGGGAUGUUUAAUCGGAGAUGGAUAUAUGCGUCUAAGCCACAGAGGCAGGGGAAAUGCAGCUUUUCAAAUUGCGCACUCAGUAAAGCAGAGAGAAUAUGUUGUAUGGAAAUCUUCGAAGCUCAGAGAGUUUGUAAAAACACCUCCGAAACGAAAUGGUCCUCGUGGUUUUAGAUUUGUAACUAGAUUUCUGCCAGAGUUUACGCGAUUUUAUGAGAAGUUUUACGGUGAGGGCAAAAAGAUAAUUCCACACGAACAGAUCAUAGCACCUCUAGCCCUUGCAGUGUGGUAUAUGACGAUGGAGGAAAAUGCGGUAAUCGGGAUAUCUACUUUAACAUCCAGAAAUACGACCUAGAAUCGCAAAGGGAACUCAUAGAUGCUCUAUGGAAACAAUUUAAAAUAAAGGCAACAAUGAACAGAGAUAAAAAAUAUUGGAGGAUAAGGAUAUUUAAAGGAGGAAUUGAUCGAUUUACGAAGAUUGUCAGGCCCCAUAUUAUCCCGCCGCUAGAAUAUAAACUUCCUAGUUAGACCCCGUAACGACUGAGUGGUGCCGAUGCCGUAAGAAGGCAUCACAAUGAGAUAGUCUAAAUGACUAUCAUACGCCAGCUCCCUCCUGCGCUGGGAGGGAUGAAGAGAUAGUCUACCCUUGCUGGUAACAGCAAGAUCGGUGCGAUGUCGGUUCUUCCCAUCCUGGCCGUGCAGCAGCGGCCAAGGGUAGGGUUGUUCGCCCGUUAAAGGGGAACGUGAGCUGGGUUUAGACCGUCGCGAGACAGGUCGGAUGCUAUCUUUCGGGGGUGCUGGGUGCCUGAGGGGAAGGUGGCCCUAGUACGAGAGGAACAGGCUACCGGCGCCUCUGGUUUACCGGUUGUCCGACAGGGCAUAGCCGGGCAGCUACGCGCCAGCCGAUAAGGCCUGAAAGCAUCUAAGGCCGAAGCGGCCCUCGAAAAUAGGCACCCGUUUCGGUGGUCCCCGCAAGGGGAUGCUCGCCCUGGCGACAGGGCGAGACGCCGGAUGAAGGGCUGGGACUAGAAGAUCCCGUUGAUAGGCCACGGAUGUAAGCACCAAGCUUCGGCGAGGUGCUCAGUCCGGUGGUACUAAUCGCCCAAGUUCUUCAGCUU
rfam:Hadesarchaea archaeon YNP_N21 contig_4, whole genome shotgun sequence.